GCUAGGAUAGUUCAAUAGGUUAGAACAUUAAUUUCAUGCAUUAAUAAUGAAAAUUCAAGUCUUUCUCCUAGCU